UACGAAGGGGGCUAGCGUUGCUCGGAAUUACUGGGCGUAAAGCGCACGUAGGCGGCUUUCUAAGUCGGGGGUGAAAUCCUGGAGCUCGAACUCCAGAACUGGCCUUCGAUACUGGAAGCUCGAGUCCGGGAGAGGUGAGUGGAACUGCGAGUGUAGAGGUGAAAUUCGUAGAUAUUCGCAAGAACACCAGUGGCGAAGGCGGCUCACUGGCCCGGUACUGACGCUGAGGUGCGAA
rnacentral:rRNA from 1 species